rnacentral:rRNA from 1 species
UACGGGGGGGGCAAGCGUUGUUCGGAAUUACUGGGCGUAAAGGGUUCGUAGGUGGCCAAUUAAGUCAGACGUGAAAUCCCUCAGCUUAACUGGGGAACUGCGUCUGAGACUGGAUGGCUUGAGUGCAGGAGAGGAACGCGGAAUUCCAGGUGUAGCGGUGAAAUGCGUAGAUAUCUGGAGGAACACCGGUGGCGAAGGCGGCUUACUGGUCCGGUACUGACGCUGAGGUGCGAAAGCGUGGGGAGCGAACAGG